rnacentral:rRNA from 1 species
UGGCGAUGCGUCUUAAGCAUGCAAGUCGAGCGGGCUUAUUCGGGCAACUGGAUAAGUUAGCGGCGAACUGGUGAGUAACACGUAGGUAAUCUGCCGUGAAGUGGGGGAUAACCCAUGGAAACAUGGACUAAUACCGCAUAUACUCUUGCUACAUAAGUAGAGUAGAGGAAAGUUUUUUCGCUUCACGAUGAGCCUGCGGCCUAUUAGCCUGUUGGUAGGGUAAUGGCCUACCAAAGCUACGAUAGGUAGCCGACCUGAGAGGGUGACCGGCCACAUUGGGACUGAGAUACGGCCCAGACUCCUACGGGAGGCAGCAGCUGAGAAUCUUCCACAAUGGACGAAAGUUCAUCGCGUGAGGGAUGAAGCCUUCGGAAUUAUCGAAGAAGAGUACAGUAGAUAAUGUAAGCUAACUGC